UUCAAUUUAUUUUAAAAGAAAUGGGGAAUAAUUUAGUGCAAGGGUGACAAUAUAUUUGGCUUCAACUGUGUGUGUGUGUGUGUGUGUGUGUGUGUGUGUGUGUGUGUGUGUGUGUGUGUGUUUGCUUUGUCGUGAUCAACUAGUGUGAAAUUAUUCACACACUCACACGCACUGACCUACCCCAUGGACUGACCUCCAGGUACAUGUAUAAGUAUUUAUCUGCCCUAACGUGUGUGUGUGGUGUGUCAGGUCUACAAGGUUCGAUGCCAAGAUGGAGAGGCGGACAAAUAAGAUGAAGGGAAAACAGGAAGAGAGAUGAAGAUGAGGCAUGAAGAAAUCAGAAUGAAAUAUGGUCUCAGUGGGUUCAACCCGUACUCCGAAUUCUCAUGAGCUGAUAUUUGAACACUGUACUAUCAACUGCCUGCCUUCUCUUCACCUCUGACCUUUCACCCCCACCCCCCCACCCCAAGGACUGUUAACCUUAGUCUGCUCUAUGCUCAGCUUACCCUCCCUUAAACCAAAAGUAGAGGUGUUUUAAAGGUUUUGUAUCAUUUCAGACCGUAGUAUUGAAUGUAGUGCUCACAAGCCAAAACGGGUUGCCAAAUAUUGUGCACAACGUCACUUAUUUCGUAUAUGUUACGUCCUGCAAAAAAAUAAUCCUGCAAUUUGUAUGAUGUUAUGAAUUCCAAUUCGUACAAUAUGUUACGAAUGUGUAAGUGCUUAAGAUCCCGUUCAAUCUCUUUAACCGUUUGAGGAGAAUACAUGAAACUGGCCUUAGAUCAAAGUUUUGGUACAACCUGUUUAUACAACAUUAUCUGCCCAUGUAACACAGGUCAUUAAACAUUGUGUUGAAUGUAAUGAACAAAGUAUUCUAUGAAUGCUUAGCUAGAACAAGUUCUGCACUGCUUGGUGAGUGGUGCAGUGCUGAACAUGUCUUGCAGUGCUGAACAUGUCUUGCAGUGCUGAACAUGUCUUGCAGUGCUGAACACGUCUUGCAGUGCAGACUGUGAGAGCAGUGGAAAGGUGCAGUAGCCUUAGGAACUUACCUAAUUUAUACCAUCUUCCUUCUGUGACUACUACUGUAUUAUAAACUCAUGAUGGUAUUUGAGGGUUACUGCUUGGUUAUAGGAGAUCUUGCCUAUGCUCUACUUGAUUGAGAAGAUGCACUCCAGAAAAGUUGACCUUUUCUAUGUAUAUUUAUCUUAUGGGGAUCUAUUGUUAAUGUGUCCAGUUCACACCUGUACUCCAUCAAACAAUAAACUUGUAUAGAUGUAUUGUCCUAAUUUAAA